GACGAACGCUGGCGGCGUGCUUAACACAUGCAAGUCGAACGGAAAGGCCCUAGCUUGCUGGAGUGCUCGAGUGGCGAACGGGUGAGUAACACGUGGGUAACCUGCCCUUGACUUUGGGAUAACUUCGGGAAACUGGGUCUAAUACCGGAUAUGACCUCCCUCUUCAUGGGGUUGGGUGGAAAGUUUCGCGGUGUGGGAUGAGCCCGCGGCCUAUCAGCUUGUUGGUGGGGUGAUGGCCUACCAAGGCGACGACGGGUAGCCGGCCUGAGAGGGUGAUCGGCCACAUUGGGACUGAGAUACGGCCCAGACUCCUACGGGAGGCAGCAGUGGGGAAUAUUGCACAAUGGGCGGAAGCCUGAUGCAGCAACGCCGCGUGAGGGAUGACGGCCUUCGGGUUGUAAACCGCUUUCGGCUGUGACGAAGCGUGAGUGACGGUACCGGGAAAAGAAGCACCGGCUAACUACGUG
rnacentral:rRNA from 1 species